AUUUAUCCGGCAGCAAAAGAUUUUAGAACCAACACUUCUAAAUCGGGAAGCAUCCUGACAUCAGCGUUGCGCAAGCCUACUUUAAAGUAGGAAGCCUGAACUGAUUCAUCCGCUACCCACUUGAACCUUAGGGUUCAAAGUCUUACGCUGUCGGAUCUUCU
rnacentral:other from 2 species